CUGAGAAAUCAGAGAUCUGCAGAAAAUAACAGCACCGGCUGGCUCUGUUCAACGCCAGCAGGAUCAUGACAAAACCAAAGGCUGUUCUUGCCUAGUGUUGGCACCUACCGCUCUGCAGUGAGACAGCAAUUCUUCCUGCAUGACAGAAGACAGGGUCUGAUCCAGCACCCGAAAAGGGAGUUACUGCAGACAACUGGUGGAAAUCUUAUUCUGCGGCUUUCCAAACCAGGCCACUGAAAGAAGAGUUAUGCCCAGGAUCAGUCACUGGAGAGGAGAAGUUUGCUGCACCUUCUUGGAG